rnacentral:lncRNA from 1 species
CAUUUUCCUGUGGACUAUGUCUGUCUGCUCUCUAUUCAGAGGCAGUCAGUUGUUUGUCCCUCUGGGGCAAAUAUCCCCGCCCCACAUCCCUUGCCCCCUUCUCCCUAGUCUCCUGUUUCUGUCUCUUACCCCCUGCCCCUUGUCUUGUGUGCCUUCGGGAUACACCUCAGACAUUUUAAGGAAAAGCUCAUGUGGUGCCAACGUGAAGGGAACGAGAGAUCAGGACUUUGAGAAACCAUUGAGUAAACUGGUGACCUGUCCGAGAAGCACUCUGAUGUUCAUGUUCAAAGCCCAGCAUAAGUGAUAAGCUUGUGUAAAAUGGCUACCGCCUUAUGAACUGAGGAGGUCUUCAUAGCGCCACAUCUUCAUUAAAGCUGUUCCCUAAACGUGCACGUGCUGCACACGUGAAUCAGUGGAGAACACGGCUGAUUAAAGGCUGGCUAAAGCGGAAACUG